CCUACGGGUGGCAGCAGUGAGGAAUAUUGGUCAAUGGCCGGAAGGCUGAACCAGCCAAGUCGCGUGAGGGAAUAAGGCCCUAUGGGUCGUAAACCUCUUUUGUCAGGGAGAAAAGGCGUCCACGAGUGGACGAAAGGAGAGUAACUGAAGAAAAAGCAUCGGCUAACUACGUGCCAGCAGCAGCGGUAAUACGGAGGAUGCGAGCGUUAUCCGGAUUUAUUGGGUUUAAUGGGUGCGUAGGCGGAGUGUCAAGUCAGCGGUAAAAGUUCGGGGCUCAACCCCGUCGUGACGUUGAAACUGACACCCGUGAGUGAGUGAGAAGUAAGCGGAAUGCGUGGUGUAGCGGUGAAAUGCGUAGAUAUUAGGAGGAACACCAGUGGCGAAGGCGGCUUACUGGACAGUAACUGACGUUGAGGCUCGAAAGCGUGGGGAGCAAACAGGAUUAGAUACCCCUGUAGUC
rnacentral:rRNA from 1 species